UGUUGGCCAGGCUGGUCUCAAACUCCUGACCUCAGAUGAUCCACCCACCUCAGCCUCCCAAAGUGCUAGGAUUACAAACAUGAGCCACCAUGCUUGGCUGUGCUUUCUUACAAGCUCGGGGUUAAGGAGGUAACCCUGCUGCUGGUGUACAGACCCCACUUUGAGUAGUGAAGGGCUGGUCCAAAUCCCCACCCAUACAGAAUCAGCUACAUCGACAAGCACACACUCUCGUGAGUUUAACCAAAUGGACUGUUUGGGGCAGGAAGAACCCCAGAAAUGACAUUGGGUUCCCCUUGGCGCUUCAUGUCACAGGCACACCGUGUCACCCUGGAGAUGGCAACAUGGAUCACUCAGUGUAAGUGACAUCUGCCAGGCUUCACCUGGCCAUUGUCCCCUUUGAAAUUAGUAAGUAUCUCAUGGAGAGAUACUUUGAAACGAUGCAAAUCGCCGUUCUUCAUCACACUUUUGCUCGCUGAUGUCAGCAUCCGUUGAUGGUUUUGCCUGAAACGAUGACCACAGUGCUAUUUGUAAGCGGCGAUUUUCUAUUUCCAUUGUCCCCUCUAGGUUUAUUAAUUUUUAAGUUCAAAUUCUGGUCUGUGAUUACAGACCUACUCUAAUACCAAAAAAGAACCCAGACACCCUUGAGCUGACAUCUCAGCAAUACCUGUCACUGACUGCCAGGACGGCAGCGGAGCAGGCAGCUUCCUCAGCUGAAGGUGAGCUGUGUGUGCCAGCCCCGCCCGCACCUGACAGCCUUCCCCUUAGUAUUCCAUGAGCCACCAUUUUCCCCACGAUCCCUCCAGCCUGAACGAUCACAUCCUACUGUGGACCACGACUCUCCCAGCAGCGGGCGUUUAAUAUCCAGUUAGCAGGUUCUCACCACCCCCUCGCUGGCUCGAAUACAGCAUCUGCACCGAGUUCCCGAGAAUCGUCAACCCAGCAAAUCCCUUAAUUGGUGGACAUGAAAAUCCAGGGCUUUGUGCUGUAAUAACAGAGUCCUGGGGGCCUGG
rnacentral:lncRNA from 10 species